UCUCCUGGAAACGGGUGGUAAUGCCGGAUGCUCCAUCACACCGCAUGGUGUGUUGGGAAAGCCUUUGCGGCAUGGGAUGGGGUCGCGUCCUAUCAGCUUGAUGGCGGGGUAACGGCCCACCAUGGCUUCGACGGGUAGCCGGCCUGAGAGGGCGACCGGCCACAUUGGGACUGAGAUACGGCCCAGACUCCUACGGGAGGCAGCAGUGGGGAAUAUUGCACAAUGGGCGCAAGCCUGAUGCAGCGACGCCGCGUGAGGGAUGGAGGCCUUCGGGUUGUAAACCUCUUUUGUUAGGGAGCAAGGCACUUUGUGUUGAGUGUACCUUUCGAAUAAGCACCGGCUAACUACGUGCCAGCAGCCGCGGUAAUACGUAGGGUGCAAGCGUUAUCCGGAAUUAUUGGGCGUAAAGGGCUCGUAGGCGGUUCGUCGCGUCCGGUGUGAAAGUCCAUCGCUUAACGGUGGAUCCGCGCCGGGUACGGGCGGGCUUGAGUGCGGUAGGGGAGACUGGAAUUCCCGGUGUAACGGUGGAAUGUGUAGAUAUCGGGAAAGAACACCA
rnacentral:rRNA from 1 species